rnacentral:rRNA from 1 species
CGGGGGGAGCAAGCGUUGUUCGGAUUUACUGGGCGUAAAGGGCGCGUAGGCGGCCACCGCAAGUCGACUGUGAAAUCUCCGGGCUUAACCCGGAACGGUCAGCCGAUACUGCGGGGCUAGAGUGCAGAAGGGGCAACUGGAAUUCUCGGUGUAGCGGUGAAAUGCGUAGAUAUCGAGAGGAACGCCUGCGGCGAAGGCGGGUUGCUGGGCUGACACUGACGCUGAUGCGCGAAAGCUAGGGGAGCGAACGGGAUUAGAUACCCCGGUAGUCCUAGCCUUAAACGAUGAAUGCUUGGUGUCUGGGGUUCUAUAGUCCCCGGGUGCCGUCGCUAACGCUUUAAGCAUUCCGCCUGGGGAGUACGGUCGCAAGACUG